UGGCAGACGGCCCCCGGAUCCAAAUAAGGACUCGUUACGCGACAGGGACGUCGGCUGUUACCGCGGGCCUAGCGAAGGGGUGCACGGGGCGACUCACUUGCUCGAGCCAUCGCAAAGAUCCCCUCUUCUACCUUUUUGCAUCUCCGGCAAAGCCGAUGCUGAUGUCGAUUCGCAUUGUAGAGUUUCAACCCCGAAAGGGCGCAUCUUUUGUUGCUGAACACCUCUCAUCUCGUCAUCGUUACAUCCGACCGUGAUAAUCGUCAGGAUAGCUUCGGCAUGAGUGCGAAAAGGCGACCACCUCUUCAUCAGCGAAAACACCGAAGGUUUUUCAAGGUCUUGAGGAAUGAAAUUUGCAUAAUUCCUUACAAGUGGAACAUCUUAAUUAUUUCAAAGUUCGGAGUUCAAACUUGAGAAGUAACAGAAGUUAUUUGAAAAGAAAUAUUUCACACAUCUGAUGAUAGCCGAGUGAAUUUCGAAUGUUCUCCGAUAAUGUUGGUUCCCGGUGAGCGUUGCGCGAAGCCAGAAUUGACCUAGUUGCCUAAAGCGAUAGGCAAAGCGGCCCCAGCGUCGCGACGCUAUUUUCGCCCAGCGCAUCGCUAACUUUAGACGUACGGCCGUCGGACGCUCCCUAAUAAGUUCAAGCGACGAUUAUGGUGGCCGACGCUGCCGCUGCCGCCGUAGCCGACGACGACGACGGAUAAAACAUAACGUCUCGCCGCGAGGCAACGACGAGCAUGCCAAAAUUAUGCCUGCCCGAAAAGGACCAACGCGAUUGCACGGCCGAAGACCUCGACUAUGCGACUAUGAGUGCGACCACGAAGAGACGGCCGUUCGCCCCACGUUUGCGUGUAUUCGAAACUUUUACGACCGGCACCGGACGACUCAUCUUCUGCCUGUUAUUGAAAGGAAAGAUAGACAUACAAACAAAUUCAAGCGGAUACGAGCGGCUUGACGGUACGCCAAGAAUCAAUCUCAAUGGAUAACAGCAAACGCUGCGAACUUGAACUUCUUCCAAGGAUUCAGCAAUAAGUCAAAGAACUUUUAG